rnacentral:rRNA from 1 species
UACGGGAGGCAGCAGUGGGGAAUAUUGCACAAUGGGGGAAACCCUGAUGCAGCGACGCCGCGUGAGUGAAGAAGUAUUUCGGUAUGUAAAGCUCUAUCAGCAGGGAAGAAAAUGACGGUACCUGACUAAGAAGCCCCGGCUAACUACGUGCCAGCAGCCGCGGUAAUACGUAGGGGGCAAGCGUUAUCCGGAUUUACUGGGUGUAAAGGGAGCGUAGACGGCUAAGCAAGUCAGAAGUGAAAGGCUGGGGCUCAACCCCGGGACUGCUUUUGAAACUGUUUAGCUAGAGUGCUGGAGAGGUAAGCGGAAUUCCUAGUGUAGCGGUGAAAUGCGUAGAUAUUAGGAGGGACACCAGUGGCGAAGGCGGCUUACUGGACAGUAACUGACGUUGAGGCUCGAAAGCGUGGGGAGCAAACAGGAUUAGAUACCCUGGUAGUCCACGCCGUAA